rnacentral:rRNA from 1 species
UCGGGAGUACCGGCGCACGGCUCAGUAACACGUGGCUAACCUACCCUCGGGUGGGGGAUAACCUCGGGAAACUGAGGCUAAUCCCCCAUAGGGGAGGAGGUCUGGAAUGAUCCCUCCCCGAAAGGCUUCAGCCGCCCGAGGAUGGGGCCGCGGCGGAUUAGGUAGUUGGUGGGGUAACGGCCCACCAAGCCUACGAUCCGUACGGGCCCUGAGAGGGGGAGCCCGGAGAUGGACACUGAGACACGGGUCCAGGCCCUACGGGGCGCAGCAGGCGCGAAACCUCCGCAAUGCGCGAAAGCGCGACGGGGGGACCCCGAGUGCCCACGCUCCGCGUGGGCUUUUCCGGAGUGUAAACAGCUCCGGGAAUAAGGGCUGGGCAAGUCCGGUGCCAGCAGCCGCGGUAAUACCGGCGGCCCAAGUGGUGGCCACUGUUAUUGGGCCUAAAGCGUCCGUAGCCGGCCCGGUAAGUCUCUGCUUAAAUCCUGCGGCUUAACCGCAGGGCUGGCAGAGAUACUGCCGGGCUUGGGACCGGGAGAGGCCGGGGGUACCCCAGGGGUAGCGGUGAAAUGCGUUGAUCCCUGGGGGACCACCUGUGGCGAAGGCGCCCGGCUGGAACGGGUCCGACGGUGAGGGACGAAGGCCGGGGGAGCAAACCGGAUUAGAUACCCGGGUAGUCCCGGCUGUAAACUCUGCGGACUAGGUGUCGCGUCGGCUUCGGGCCGACGCGGUGCCGAAGGGAAGCCGUUAAGUCCGCCGCCUGGGGAGUACGGUCGCAAGACUGAAACUAAAGGAAUUGGCGGGGAGCACUACAAC